GUGGGGAAUCUUGCGCAAUGGACGAAAGCCUGACGCAGCCAUGCCGCGUGAAUGAUGAAGGUCUUAGGAUUGUAAAAUUCUUUCACCGGGGACGAUAAUGACGGUACCCGGAGAAGAAGCUCCGGCUAACUUCGUGCCAGCAGCCGCGGUAAUACGAAGGGGGCUAGCGUUGCUCGGAAUUACUGGGCGUAAAGGGCGCGUAGGCGGACAGCUUAGUCAGAGGUGAAAGCCCAGGGCUCAACCUUGGACUUGCCUUUGAUACUGGCUGUCUUGAGUUUGGGAGGUGGGAGUGGAACUCCUAGUGUAGAGGUGAAAUGCGUAGAUAUUCGGAAGAACUCCAGUGGCGAAGGCGACUCACUGGCCCAAUACUGACGCUGAGGCGCGAAAGCGUGGGGAGCAAACAGGAUUAGAUACCCGGGUAGUCC
rnacentral:rRNA from 1 species